rnacentral:rRNA from 1 species
GUACUGAGACACGGACCAGACUCCUACGGGAGGCAGCAGUGGGGAAUAUUGGACAAUGGGGGCAACCCUGAUCCAGCAAUACCGCGUGUGUGAAGAAGGCCUGAGGGUUGUAAAGCACUUUCAGUGGGGAGGAGGAUUGAUUGGUUAAGAGCUGAUUAAUUGGACGUUACCCACAGAAGAAGCACCGGCUAACUCCGUGCCAGCAGCCGCGGUAAUACGGGGGGUGCAAGCGUUAAUCGGAAUUACUGGGCGUAAAGGGUGCGUAGGUGGUUUGAUAAGUUAUCUGUGAAAUCCCUGGGCUUAACCUGGGCAGGUCAGAUAAGACUGUUGAACUCGAGUAUGGGAGAGGGUAGUGGAAUUUCCGGUGUAGCGGUGAAAUGCGUAGAGAUCGGAAGGAACACCAGUGGCGAAGGCGGCUACCUGGCCCAAUACUGACACUGAGGCACGAAAGCGUGGGGAGCAAACAGGAUUAGAUACCCUGGUAGUCCACGCUGUAAACGGUGGGCGCUAGAUGUGGGGACCAUCCCAUGGUUUCUGCGUCGCAGCUAACGCAUUAAGCGCCCCGCCUGGGGAGUACGGUCGCAAGACUAAAACUCAAAGGAAUUGACGG